rnacentral:rRNA from 1 species
UACGUAGGGUGCAAGCGUUGUCCGGAAUUAUUGGGCGUAAAGAGCUCGUAGGCGGUUUGGUAAGUCGGGUGUGAAAACCCCAGGCUCAACCUGGGGACGCCACCUGAUACUGCUAUGACUUGAGUCUGGUAGGGGAUCACGGAAUUCCUGGUGUAGCGGUGAAAUGCGCAGAUAUCAGGAGGAACACCGGUGGCGAAGGCGGUGAUCUGGGCCAGUACUGACGCUGAGGAGCGAAAGCGUGGGUAGCAAACAGG